AUUGAACGCUGGCGGCAGGCCUAAUACAUGCAAGUCGAGCGGUGCGGCGGAAGGGUGAGUAAUGCCUAGGAAUCUGCCUGGUAGUGGGGGAUAACGUCCGGAAACGGGCGCUAAUACCGCAUACUAGUAGAUGAGCCUAGGUCGGAUUAGCUAGUUGGUAGGGUAAAGGCCUACAAAGGCGACGAUCCGUAACUGGUCUGAGAGGAUGAUCAGUCAAACUGGAACUGAGACACGGUCCAGACUCCUACGGGAGGCAGCAGUGGGGAAUAUUUGACAAUGGGCGAAAGCCUGAUCCAGCCAUGCCGCGUGAGUGAAGAAGGUCUUCGGAUUGUAAAGCUCUGUAGGUUGGGAAGCGUUACCAACAGAGAAAGCAACGGCUAACUACGUGCCAGCAGCCGCGGUAAUAC
rnacentral:rRNA from 1 species